GAUUAUAAGUUUACUGUACAUUAAAGAAAAUAAACCUGAUAUAAUAAACCUUUCUAACUUUAGAAAGUAGAUUUUAAAUGCUAAAAAUUGGUAGUGUCACUGAUAUCAGAUGCAUUGGAUUUAUUUCUGCUGGAAGAUUUAUUCCCAUUUACUUCUCUUCUUCCCUCACUCAGCAUUUUCAACAUUUUUUAAGCUCUAGAAGGUAAUUUUACAUUUUGGAGGGGUGAUUUUCUGCCAUUAGGGGACAGAAACACGAGGAAAGAAAUAAUUUUUAUAAGAAAACAACAGGAAGAUGAAGAGAACUGGAUAAUGAAGUAAUUGAAUGUGGGGUUUUUAUGUCUACCCUCACACUCCAAUAUUCCCAUUUACCUUCUAAUUAAAUGACAUAAAUUAUUAUUCAGAAAUAUCUUUUUUUUGUCUCUCCUUCUUCUCUUAGCCUAAAUUGGGUAUUGUUUUUUAUUUAGUUACUGAGAGUUCCUGUAUUUAUACAGGAGAGAAAGCAUAUCCUCAUGUCCUUGAGGUUAUAAAGGUGGAGAAAUUAUGCAGUUUAAAUUUUAAUUUUAAAUUAAUGAAUUGGUUAAGUUUAUAUAUGGGAAAUAUUGUUCUUUAAAUGCUUAUCCCUGGUGUAAAAACUAAUCACACUAUAUGAUGGAUAACCUCCUGCCUAAAGAUAGAAAAGUUAUUAUUUUAAAAAUAAUAAAAAUAAAAAUUCCAAAAUUUUGCUUUGGGAUAUGAAUAUGGAAGUGACCUGUGCAAGAUAUUAUGCCAGAAGUUAUUUCUUAGAUUAUAAAAUGAUAUGAUAAUUUCUUAAAUGAUGUGCUAUGGUUUUUUACUCAUUCCCAGUGUAGAUAAGGUGAGGACAUUUUGUAUUACUCUUCAGAAUUCAGUCUAAGAUUAUCUAAUUUGAGAAGUAAAAGUACCUUUUGCAAAGCACCCCCCAGUAAAUAAGGAGUCAAGUCUAUUUAAUGAAAAUUUAAUCUUUUAAUGAAUGUUAUUUUAAGUAAGAAAAUAAAUUUUCUGAACUAUCUUUCAAAUUCCCAGAUACACUUUCUCCACUUUAGUUCCAGUCAAUGGAUCUCUUUAUUCUCUAAAACAUUGGCUGCUUUAUUUGUGUACUGCAUCAAUAACAGUAUGAGAAAGCUGAAAUAAUUUUUUUUUUCCCCAUUCACAAGCACUAGAAAAUUAUUAAACAUACAUCUCUGUUCAACAAAGUGUUUUCACUUACAUGUAGCUGAGGCAAUAAACCUUGCACACUAGUGAAUAUUAUUCUAUGGAAUUUGUUAAUGUACACAAUCACUAGCUAGUACCAAAAAGAUUCUCAGUUAUAUAAUUUCUUAGAUUUCCAUUAUGUUAAAUUUCAGUACCAUUCAUAUUUAAAAGAAAAGUAAAAAUCCCCUGAGAACCAUGGUGGUCAAACCUUCUAAGUCUGUCUGAAAAAUAUCAGAACAAAUAGCAGUGCGAAUACUAAAGUGUUUCUAGCGCUGAUGUUUGUUGUAUUAUCUGUUUCUUUCUAAUGCACUUGUUUAGUUUUAUGGAUACCAAAUGGUUUAUUAUUUUUGGUCUGGAUCCUGGGUCAAUGUGAACAUUGUUAAUACCUUUUCAGAAAAUGAAAUUUUCUGAGUAUGUAGCAGAAAGACAGCCAAGUAAAGUGGUUAGAGUGGAGAGUGAGGGAUUGUGAAAGAAAGAUUUAGGUGACAAGAUGGGUAGUAAUAAGGAGAUUGAACCUGAAGGGAUUCUGUUGAAUAAUUAUGACUUCUUGUCAUACAUGACAUACCCUGGUUGGAAUCCACUCUGUGCUAGUUGGAUUGAGCAGUCAGCCAGGACAAAUCUCUUUUCCUUGCUGAACAGGCUGAAUUCUCUCAGCUUUUCUUCAUAGGAGAGGUGCUUUAUCUAGCUAAUCCUCUCCAUGGCUCUCCUCUGGACCUUCUGUAUGUCAGGUCUAUGUUCUUCCUGUGCUGAGGCCCCCAAAUCUGAAUUCAGCUCUCCAGAUGGAACCUCACAAGGACAGAGUAGAGCCGCAAAAUCCCUUCCCUAGCCCUGCUGCCCAUGCUGCUUUUGAUGCAGCCUUGGAUACCACUGGCCUUGAGGGCUGCAAGUGCACAUUGCUGGGUCCUGUCCAGCCUGUCAUCCACCAGCAGCUCCAGCUCCUUAACAGGGCUGCUCUCGAUCCAUUCAUCUUCCAGGCUGCGUUGAUCCCUGGGGUUGCCCUGAGCCAGGUACAGCACCUUGCACUUGGCAUUGUUCAAUUUAAUGAGGUUUUCAUAGGCCAUUUCUCAGACUUGUCCAGGUCUCUAUGAAUGACAUCCCAUCCCUCUGAUAUGUCAACCACAGCACUUGGCUUCUUGUAGCCUUCAAAGUGGCUGAGGGUGCACUCAGUGCCUCAGUAGAUAUCUCUGAUGAAGACACUAAAUAAAACUGAUCCCUAUGUGGGCCCCCAAGGGAAACCACUUUUCUGUCAUGUCUGUCAGAACACUAAACUGUCGAGAACAUUACCCUCUGGACACAACUGUCCAAGCAAUUUGUCAUCCAUUGAGCAGUUCACCCAUAGAAUCCAUUUCUCUUCACUUUAGACAGAAGGAUAUUGUGGGGGACCAUGUCCAAGGCUUUGCAGAAGUCCAAAUGGAUGACAUAUGUAGCCCUUUGUUGGAUGAUGUCGUUGGUCCAUCAUAGAAGGCCACUGGGUUGAUUAGAGAGGACUUGCCCUUGGUGAAGCUGUGCUACUGUUCUGAAUCACCUCCCUGUCCUCCAGGUGCCUCUGCACAGCUUCUAGGAGGAUUCUGUUCCAUGGUUUUCCCAGGCACAGAGGUGAUGCUGACAAAUAGGUGCCUGCUAAGAAAGUCAGGAGCCUCCCCUGAAAUCCUGAAAUGGAGAAUGAGCAUCCAAGGAGCUGUUAGGAGAAGUUUGACAUUCCUGGACAUGAAGAAG